UUCAUGUAUCAUAUAAAUUGACUUAUGUACACAUACCAAAGUUUUAUUUUAUAAUACAAAAUUUAAAAUUAAAGAAAUAAAAAUUAAUAGCAUAAAUACUACCGUGGGAAUAACAAGAAACAACUUCUAUAUUAUGGUAUCUCGGACAUCACUUAGAAUCAAGAUUGUCAAUUCUGUUUUUGAUAAGUAUUUUUAUUUAUUAAUUGAAACGUCACUUCGAGAUUGUAAUAUAUAUAUAUAUAUAUAUAUAUAUAUAUAUAUAUAUAUUAAUUUCAGCUAUUACAUCAAUGCGAUUAUUAAAGUAAAAUGGAACUUGAACAUCACAGAUGCCAAUCAAGAUCACUGGCCCAAUCAAGUCAAUCAUAAAGUAUAAACAGUGUAUUCUCCAUGUGUGUGUGUGUGUGUGUAAUUGACUGGUAAGCUCAUGGCUUGCAAAUACAAGGACAUAGGUCAGAGUCUUGUAGGCACCCGCUUCAUCAGGAAGAAAAUAUAAUGAAAGAAAUGAUGAAGUGAGGAAUUCAAUUGCCCGCUCCUUCAAUACCAUUUUAGAAGGUUCAAGAUAGUUUCAUGAACUAAUAAUCUCAAACUGAAGACUUCAACCACCGUGCUAUGCAAUAACAUCCAGACAUGUAACCACAGUAUAGUUAUUCCACCACUUUUAUCAAUACAAUUGUUAAUUAUACUUGAUCAUAAAGUUCAUGAACAAGCCAAUUUACCUUAGAUUGCUAAUCCUAGAGACUAUAGAAUCCGAACUGUGGUUGGAAUGUGACUUCAGUGAUGGUGAUAGUGCUGGUAAUCAUUAUGAUGAACAUAUAGAUAUGCUCAAGUUCCGAUCAAAGACCGCACAAGGGAAUGGAAUUACGAGCAGAGAUUUUUCAAAUUGAAUUAAAAAUUUAAAACCACUCGUACCUUGAGGAUCUGAGUAUUUAUGGUCUAUGCAGAAAGUUUAAUACUGUUGAACUUCCAAGACGCUAGAAUAAAGAUACUGGAAAGUUCAAUGCAUCUAGAAAGAAGGUUCCAGAUAGCUUUGUAACAGAAGCCAUUUAUGAUCAAAAUACACUGCAUCUAAGAACUUCUUUCAACUCUAAGAUGAACUGAAAUACCACUCUAAAUCAAUUCUUGCACACACCUCCUUAAGAAAGCUUAGAUUACUAGAUCAAAGUUCCAAGAUUGUACCUUAUAAAGAACAGACAAGAGCCAGGGAUGGAAGGCGGAAGGUGAUGUUGCGGCAGUGCAGCAUGCAAGACAGCAAGAGAGAAGAGGGAAGAUUGGAGGGGGAGGUUGUGAAAGACAAGAUGCUGAUUGUAAUUGUUUUGGUUGGGAACUUGAGAUGAGACUGUGCGAGGAAGAGAAAUUAGGGAUUGGUUUUUGGUACAGACUUCAAACUUGAGAGAAGAAGAGCUUUUAUACGUAGGUGGUUUAGUUAAUGAAAUCGAACUUUAAGCCCGAAACGGUAUAUAUGGAAGGAGACUGGAAAGUUCUGCCUGAAAUUUGUCUGGAAAUUUCUGGAAUAAGAGACCGAGAUUUUAAGUGAGGUGAAAAUUAUUCUGUUUUGUUUCAUUUCUUGAACUGGUACGAGAUGUUCCGGUCAUUCCGGCCGAAAUGGAACGAAUUUAUAAAGAAUUCGUUUCAGACAACCCGAUCUCAUAAAUAUCCAAACCCGAAUCCGCCCCGUUUUAUAAAAUAUCCAAACCCGUAACCUCCCCGGCUAAAGUAUAAAAACCAAAACACAC
rnacentral:lncRNA from 1 species